AACGCGAAGAACCUUACCAGGGUUUGACAUCCCGUGCUAAGCCCAGAGAUGGGUGGUCCCCGCAAGGGGCGCGGAGACAGGUGCUGCAUGGCUGUCGUCAGCUCGUGUCGUGAGAUGUUGGGUUAAGUCCCGCAACGAGCGCAACCCUCGCCUUUAGUUGCCAUCAUUUAGUUGGGCACUCUAAAGGGACCGCCGGCGACAAGCCGGAGGAAGGUGGGGAUGACGUCAAGUCCUCAUGGCCCUUACACCCUGGGCUACACACGUGCUACAAUGGCGGUGACAGUGGGCAGCGACCACGCGAGUGGAUGCGAAUCCCAAAAAACCGUCCCAGUUCAGAUUGCACUCUGCAACUCGGGUGCAUGAAGGUGGAAUCGCUAGUAAUCGCAGAACAGCAGGCUGCGGUGAAUACGUUCCCGGGCCUUGUACACACCGUACGUC
rnacentral:rRNA from 1 species